ACCUAGGAGCCUAUUUUGCUCUCUGCACUACUGUCUUGUGGAAAAUUUUGUGUCACCUGCCUACAGCAGAAGUAUGCUCUGAAGAAAGCACAAAUCUGCAGCUGUCUGCUUGGUUCCUCAGGGCUGCUUGUCAUUCUGUGGGAAAGGUGAGUGAUGCUCUGUGAGGAAGCGGGGCUCGCUAGUGAAGAAGGCUGCUGUCUGCAAAAGCACCCCCUGCCCAUUUGUGACAAAAAGCCCAAGUUGGGCAACGGCUGAGGUGUGGAGCUUCAGCUGGUGAGGAAGGGACCUGGCUGUAGCUCCGAAGAGUGAGAGUGCUCCUCUGCUACGUUCUCCCAGUGGGGACAAGGGAGAGGUUUGGAGACUCAAGGCCCAAGCUUUUCUCGGUGCGCAGGCUGGAUGCUGCGAGCAGCCAUCCCACGCAAUUAAUGAGCGGCAAUUAAGUAUUUUAUUUUUUCCUUGUGUUCAAUGAACAGCGUCAUAUCUUCUGCAUCACGUACUAAAGGAACCCUGGCGGAGCUCUUGUAUAAUGGCCACAAGUCUGUAAUAAAUGUUAGAGGCUCCUGUAAUUACUGGGGUUUUUUUAUCUUUAGGAGAGCAGGGCCUGUAUAACCAUUAUCCUGA